CAUUAUCGAGUAUUGGGGUUCCACUCGGGCCCCUACUCCCACACCAUGUGUACCCUUACCUUACCGUUGCCUCGGCGAGCCGCCUUCGCGGCGCCGGGCCCCUCGCGGGUCCGGAGAGCGCUCGCCGGAGGACCAACCAAAACUCUUUUUGUAAUCGACGCAGUCUGAGUAUAAUUCUUUGAAUUAAAUUAAAACUUUCAACAACGGAUCUCUUGGUUCUGGCAUCGAUGAAGAACGCAGCGAAAUGCGAUAAGUAAUGUGAAUUGCAGAAUUCAGUGAAUCAUCGAAUCUUUGAACGCACAUUGCGCCCUUUGGUAUUCCGAGGGGCAUGCCUGUUCGAGCGUCAUUUCAAACCUCAAGCUUCUGCUUGGUAUUGAGCGGCCGCCUUCGCUUCUCGCGGAGGCGCCCUCGAAACUCGUGGGCGGUGAUGUCCAGCGUCGUAGCGUAGUCAUAAACCAUUCCGCUUCCGAUCGCUUCUGGACGAUUCACCCGCCGGGCGAACCGACGCCUCUGGUGUCAUUUUUUUCUAAGGUUUGACCUCGGAUCAGGUAAGGAUACCC
rnacentral:rRNA from 1 species